ACGCGAACACCAUACAGAUAAUGCUGCUAUAUUUUUAAAGCAAACACAACUCCUCUCAUGCACUUUCAACUAACUGGAAGCAUAGGUAAUCACCUUCACAUGCUGCAUCAAAACACAACUAAGCCCUACCCGAGAUGCAUCACAAUAAACUACAAACUCAUUAUCGCCCUCCAGUAAAGUCAAAAUUAGAGCCGACAUCAAUCUAUCCUUCAAUUUCUCAAAACUCCC
rnacentral:lncRNA from 1 species